rnacentral:rRNA from 1 species
CGAGCCUGAUGCAGCCAUGCCGCGUGUAUGAAGAAGGCCUUCGGGUUGUAAAGUACUUUCAGUUGUGAGGAAGGGGGUAGCGUUAAUAGCGCUAUCUCUUGACGUUAGCAACAGAAGAAGCACCGGCUAACUCCGUGCCAGCAGCCGCGGUAAUACGGAGGGUGCGAGCGUUAAUCGGAAUUACUGGGCGUAAAGCGCAUGCAGGUGGUUCAUUAAGUCAGAUGUGAAAGCCCGGGGCUCAACCUCGGAACUGCAUUUGAAACUGGUGAACUAGAGUACUGUAGAGGGGGGUAGAAUUUCAGGUGUAGCGGUGAAAUGCGUAGAGAUCUGAAGGAAUACCAGUGGCGAAGGCGGCCCCCUGGACAGAUACUGACACUCAGAUGCGAAAGCGUGGGGAGCAAACAGGAUUAGAUACCCUGGUAGUCCACGCCGUAAACGAUGUCUACUUGGAGGUUGUGGCCUUGAGCCGUGGCUUUCGGAGCUAACGCGUUAAGUAGACCGCCUGGGGAGUACGGUCGCAAGAUUAAAACUCA